GCCAGCGGCGAUAGCUCGUUAAAUACAGUUGUUCCCAAUAAAUCACCAAAGUUGAGUAACGUUGCGCGUGGUUGGUAUCCGAAUUGGUGACCAUCUGGGCAAUUUUCGUCCCCUCUCA
rnacentral:rRNA from 1 species